UAGGGAAUAUUAGAAAUGGACGAAAGUCUGAUCUAGCAACACCGCGUGUGCGAAGAAGGCCUUCGGGUUGUAAAGCACUUUUUGGAAGGAUUAGGAAGGAAUGUACUUCCAGAAUAAGUCUCGGCUAACUACGUGCCAGCAGCCGCGGUAACACGUAGGAGGCAAACGUUAUCCGGAUUUACUGGGCGUAAAGCGCGUGUAGGUGGUUCUGUAAGUAGGGCGUGAAAGCUCCUGGCUCAACUGGGAGAGGCCGUUCUAAACUGCAGAGCUAGAGGAUGGUAGAGGGAGGUGGAAUUCCGGGUGUAGCGGUGGAAUGCGCAGAUAUCCGGAGGAACACCAGUGGCGAAAGCGGCCUCCUGGACCAUUCCUGACACUCAGACGCGAAAGCUAGGGUAG
rnacentral:rRNA from 1 species